GAUGAACGCUGGCGGCGUGCCUAAUACAUGCAAGUCGAGCGAACAGACGAGGAGCUUGCUCCUCUGACGUUAGCGGCGGACGGGUGAGUAACACGUGGAUAACCUACCUAUAAGACUGGGAUAACUUCGGGAAACCGGAGCUAAUACCGGAUAAUAUAUUGAACCGCAUGGUUCAAUAGUGAAAGACGGUUUUGCUGUCACUUAUAGAUGGAUCCGCGCCGCAUUAGCUAGUUGGUAAGGUAACGGCUUACCAAGGCAACGAUGCGUAGCCGACCUGAGAGGGUGAUCGGCCACACUGGAACUGAGACACGGUCCAGACUCCUACGGGAGGCAGCAGUAGGGAAUCUUCCGCAAUGGGCGAAAGCCUGACGGAGCAACGCCGCGUGAGUGAUGAAGGUCUUCGGAUCGUAAAACUCUGUUAUUAGGGCAGAACAAAUGUGUAAGUAACUAUGCACGUCUUGACGGUACCUAAUCAGAAAGCCACGGCUAACUACGUG
rnacentral:rRNA from 1 species